rnacentral:sRNA from 1 species
UUACAUUAUGAUUCAUAACUAGCAAAAAUACAGUUAUGAAGUAGCAACAAAAAUGAUUUUAUGAUCAGGGUACAACACGAGGAACUCUGUUAAAGGCUCACAGCAUUAGGAAGGUGAGAAGCGCUGCUUUAGAACAAUAUAAUUGAACAAUAUAAUUGAAGAGGGAAAAAGUCAGUGCAACGGUGUUCCUGGUGGAUCUGCAGACACGUUUCAGUGGCAGCAACUUUGACUCCACCUUUCGUUCUUGCUCCCAUCCAUGCAGAACAGGGAACGCUACAGAGAUCAGAGAAAUGAGCAGAGAGCACCGGGAUUACCACUUUUUUGUUUUGAUCUAGUCGAGAUCUGAGGGCGUAAGCUGUCAGGUAAGCUGAACUCCAUGUGGAUCUGACCCUACAGGGAGACAGGAUUUCAACCAUGUGUCAUCCUUCUGUAGGGCACAGGAGACUUGCGUGGCUGCCAUUAGGUGUGAGGGCGUUACCUAAAUCUUAGCAGACAAUCGGAGUCAGGUCUGGGCUGGGAUGCGAGUGUGAGGCAGGACAGAGGGGGCCUGGAGGAGUCUGUAUUCGUUGUGGGGUUACCGGCGGGAAGCGUCUACAGCAGAAGACUAAGGAGCUCCCAAUUGCACAGGUUCUAAGCAUGCAUGUACACCAAUGCCACCCCUUCCCGGCCCAACAGAGAAGGAGCCUCUAACCACGCGCACGCGUGGAAAGAUCCAAGCAACAGAGGACUACAGUCAAAUGCCCCUCACUUCAGAGGGAAAGAAAGACAGGAAACUCCACGGCAGGAUCAAUCGCGCAGAGGUUACUGCCAAUGGGAGCGAGGGGGACGUCCCUGUCCAGGAGCUUCUACAGACGCAAGGCAGAAGCCAACUGCAAUGGGAAGGAGAAGUGGCACAGCCAAAGAAGCCCCACACCGUGGUUUAGGAUCUGAGAUCAAGGCUGAACUAAAACAGCAAGGAAACCAGCCCAGCCACACGACUAGCACUCAGCCACUCGGAGAGGAUCUGCCCCAAAGAAGAGAUAGGUACACAGCCGUGCCAUGCUUACAGUGAACCUUCCCACCCAUGGAGCUGUUCUAUCCUGCGGUCUCACGGGGCCAUCGCUUACAAAGAAUAAAGCUUGAAGGUUGUCAAAGAAAACCACACCUCACGCAGAACAGCAAAGAGUCCAGAAGAAGACAUCAGAUCAUCUGGAGCUAGACGUUCCAGGCCGCUCAGCAUGGGUGCUGGGAACCUUGCUCAGGACGUCUGCAGCAGUGGUGUGCUAACUGCUGCGUCAUCUCUCCAGCACCCGUAUCACCUUUUCAAAACUGUUAGCAAUACUUGCAGACGUCCCGUUUACUCCCAGACAGGCUCAAGUGUUCACGCGUCGUCACUUAUCCAUUGUGCACUUCACUAAUGUUAGGCACCACUCUUCAAGCUUACUGCUCUCACAGAACAUAAAUUAUGUUACAUGUCAGCAUAUGCUCCCGUCUCACCUUAUUAUUUGUAGAAGGAAACAAUGCGCUUAUAGAGGUAAUUUCAAUACCCCGAAUUCAAGAAUGUGUAAGUGAACGUUUCUAGAUUAUCAAGUCAACGCACAAGGUCUUAUGGACUGCCCUUCAGAGGACCAUUCCCUAACUUGUAGCACCAUUUUGAAGGCUGUGUAGAGUUUAGGCUGUGUAACCUAGCUGGCAAAAAGUAGGUGACCAGGGGUCUGUCUUUGAAGGACAUACCUAGCUCUGGUUCUAGGCUAUGCU